UGAUGCGUUUCAAGAGUCGCCGGUGGAAUAGAUCACGCGGUAACGAGUCACGACGGGAACUAAUUGCGCGCCCAGCGCGUCAUUUGUACAUAGUGCGUGUGCACACUUGUUAAUUUCUAAAAAUAAAUAAACGCUAGAAGAUUUUCCGAGCUGUUCUCCGCGUAUCAAGUUAUUAAGGAACAUAUUAUAAUUCACCGAAAAUCUCUUUCGCCCAUAAUGUACACGCGAGUCCAUUGAAAUGACGUGCAGUGUAACACCACGUAGACUAGAUAAUUCAUCACGGUAGUAAGCGAUAUAUUUAUAUAUACCAUCAGAAAUCUCAGGAUAUUACUAUUUUGUGGUCAGCUGCCACACAUUUUUAACGGUUUAAAUCCCUGACGGUUUUUGACAGUUCUCUAAGGAAAUAUGGAAAAAGAGAGAGAGCCUAUUUUAACAGGUAUUAUGCAAUCAUUCGUUAUAAAUUUAUUCUCCUCAAAUCGCUUCUUUCUUUUCUGAUUUAAUCCCAACUGGAUAUUUCCAGUUCACAAGGCCCAGUUACCCCAGUAUGACAGACUCCGCGUGUGUGUGUCCAAUCGAUUUGUCAUGAGAGCUUCGUAAAAUGGGCAACACCGCCAACGCCCCAACCCCAACGAGCCAACGGCCUUCCUGCUUUCUCAGUUCAUCGUCUGCUUCCUGUUGUAGUGCAAGCAAAAGCCAAAAGUUAUUAGCGUUAUUAGUAGUUAUUUGAGAGCAUUCUGGGAAGUACGCAAAAACGCAAAAGUUUGCAUUGUUUCUCUUGCCUAACCUGUUUUACUCACGGCCACGGGUCUCAUCCCGUUACCCCCGGUGGUUCAAACAAAGUUCAAAGGAAUGUUUGAAGCAGCUGAUGUGUUCAGAACUCCAGAUCACGUUGACAUGUUGAUGCACAGUGAGACAUGAAUUGGUUCCCCCGCUUUAGAUUUUGUAAUCCUCCUUACUAAAAAGAAUUAAGUGCUUCACGAAGAUUUCAUUAGCUUUGCUUUUAUUAAAAAUCACCUUUUCAGCACACAAGCCAUUCGGUGAACUCUAGUCAGUUGGUUUGCCCCUCAAAUAGGCUGGAAAUCAAUCACAUCGUGGUUUUGCAUUUAUAGGUUUCAUCACAAAACGAGAUGCGAAAAGAGCAUUUGAAAGUUUAUCAGUAAGUACACAUUUGU